AUGUUAGCAAAGCAGUGUUGGCGUCUACUCCAAAACCCUGACUCGUUGUGUGCAAGAGUGUUGAGCGCAAAAUAUUAUCCCGGUGGAGACAUAUUGAAAGCUGGUCCAAAGAAAGGAGCUUCUUUUACUUGGGAAAGUAUAGUAGAAGGAAUUAAAACUUUUAAGAGGGGAUGUAUCUGGCGGGUAGGUUCUGGUGCACAUAUCAAUUUAUGGGAUGACCCGUGGAUUCCCUCAAGUGCAACUAGGAAAUUGAUCACACCCAGAGGUGGUAUCAUGUUAACAAAAGUGGAGGAGAUAAUUGAUCCUCAUACGGGACAAUGGGAUGAGGAUCUUAUUCGGCAUGUGUUUUCGCCGGUCGAUGCAAACAGAAUAUUGCAAAUUCAGCUCAAUGUGGAAGUAGUAGAAGACUUUGUAGCCUGGCACCACACAAGGUCAUGAACAUUUUCAGUGAGAUCGGCAUAUCAUAUUGAAUUUGAGAACCAGUUUGGGCGACACUUUAACCAGAACAACCAAGGCAGUGCUAAUGAACAUGGGGUAUGGAGAGAAUUAUGGAAGCUACGGCUACCAGGGAAAGUCAAGCAUUUUGGAUGGAAAGUGUUGAAAGGAGUCUUGCCUUGCUAUGGGGUUUUGGCCAGUCGACAUAUACCUCUACUGCCACAAUGCCCGCUUUGUAAUAUUGGAUUGGAGGACAUCCAGCAUUGCCUAUUCACUUGCUCUCGAGCAUAUGCUAUCUGGGAAAAGUUGGGGUUAGCGGCCAAGAUUAACAAGGUGAUUUCU
rnacentral:rRNA from 1 species